rnacentral:misc_RNA from 1 species
GAGGUGGUUGUUGACCGGGGUUCUAAUCCGUAUCUUUCUAAGAUCGAAUGUUAUGAACAUGACCGACUUAUAACAAAGGUGCAAGGUGAUGGAGUCAUAGUAGCCACACCUACAGGCAGUACUGCUUACUCUACAGCUGCUGGAGGUUCCAUGGUGCAUCCAAAUGUUCCUUGCAUGCUGUUUACCCCAAUCUGUCCGCAUUCUCUCUCAUUUAGGCCAGUCAUACUUCCAGAUUCUGCAAGACUUGAAUUAAAGAUUCCAGAGGAUGCUCGAAGCAAUGCGUGGGUUUCUUUCGAUGGGAAAAGAAGGCAACAACUUUCAAGAGGGGAUUCUGUCCGGAUAUAUAUGAGCC